rnacentral:tRNA from 1 species
GAGGCCGAGUGGUUAAGGCGAUGUACUUGAAAUCCAUUGGGGUUUCCACUCGCAGGUUCGAAUCCUGCCGGCUGCG